UACGUAGGGGGCUAGCGUUGUCCGGAAUCAUUGGGCGUAAAGCGCGUGUAGGCGGCCCGGUAAGUCCGCUGUGAAAGUCGGGGGCUCAACCCAGGAAGUGCACUCGAAACUGGCAGGCUUGAGUACUGAAGAGGGUCGCGGAAUUCCCGGUGUAGAGGUGAAAUUCGUAGAUAUCGGGAGGAACACCAGUGGCGAAGGCGGCUGCCUGGGCCCGACCUGACGCUGAGGCGCGAAAGCGUGGGGAGCGAUCCGG
rnacentral:rRNA from 1 species